rnacentral:misc_RNA from 1 species
AUGCAAUGGUGUCCGAGUU